rnacentral:rRNA from 1 species
AUGAACGCUAGCUACAGGCUUAACACAUGCAAGUCGAGGGGCAUCAGGAAGAAAGCUUGCUUUCUUUGCUGGCGACCGGCGCACGGGUGAGUAACACGUAUCCAACCUGCCCUUUACUCGGGGAUAGCCUUUCGAAAGAAAGAUUAAUACCCGAUGGCAUAAUGAUUCCGCAUGGUUUCAUUAUUAAAGGAUUCCGGUAAAGGAUGGGGAUGCGUUCCAUUAGGUUGUUGGUGAGGUAACGGCUCACCAAGCCUUCGAUGGAUAGGGGUUCUGAGAGGAAGGUCCCCCACAUUGGAACUGAGACACGGUCCAAACUCCUACGGGAGGCAGCAGUGAGGAAUAUUGGUCAAUGGGCGCUAGCCUGAACCAGCCAAGUAGCGUGAAGGAUGAAGGCUCUAUGGGUCGUAAACUUCUUUUAUAUAAGAAUAAAGUGCAGUAUGUAUACUGUUUUGUAUGUAUUAUAUGAAUAAGGAUCGGCUAACUCCGUGCCAGCAGCCGCGGUAAUACGGAGGAUCCGAGCGUUAUCCGGAUUUAUUGGGUUUAAAGGGAGCGUAGGUGGACUGGUAAGUCAGUUGUGAAAGUUUGCGGCUCAACCGUAAAAUUGCAGUUGAUACUGUCAGUCUUGAGUACAGUAGAGGUGGGCGGAAUUCGUGGUGUAGCGGUGAAAUGCUUAGAUAUCACGAAGAACUCCGAUUGCGAAGGCAGCUCACUGGACUGCAACUGACACUGAUGCUCGAAAGUGUGGGUAUCAAACAGGAUUAGAUACCCUGGUAGUCCACGCGGUAAACGAUGAAUGCUAGGUGUAGGAGGUAUCGACCCCUUCUGUGCCGCAGUAAACACAAUAAGCAUUCCGCCUGGGGAGUACGGCCGCAAGGUUGAAACUCAAAGGAAUUGACGGGGGCCCGCACAAGCAGUGGAGUAUGUGGUUUAAUUCGACGCAACGCGAAGAACCUUACCAGGUCUUGACAUCCACUUAAACUUACAGAGAUGUAAGGUGUGCUUGCACAAAGUGAGACAGGUGGUGCAUGGUUGUCGUCAGCUCGUGCCGUGAGGUGUCGGCUUAAGUGCCAUAACGAGCGCAACCCUUAUCUUUAGUUACUAACAGGUUAUGCUGAGGACUCUAGAGAGACUGCCGUCGUAAGAUGUGAGGAAGGUGGGGAUGACGUCAAAUCAGCACGGCCCUUACGUCCGGGGCUACACACGUGUUACAAUGGGGGGUACAGAAGGCAGCUAGCGGGUGACCGUAUGCUAAUCCCAAAAGCCUCUCUCAGUUCGGAUCGAAGUCUGCAACCCGACUUCGUGAAGCUGGAUUCGCUAGUAAUCGCGCAUCAGCCACGGCGCGGUGAAUACGUUCCCGGGCCUUGUACACACCGCCCGUCAAGCCAUGGGAGCCGGGGGUACCUGAAGUACGUAACCGCAAGGAUCGUCCUAGGGUAAAACUGGUGACUGGGGCU